AUUGAACGCUGGCGGCAUGCCUUACACAUGCAAGUCGAACGGUAACGGGCCUUCGGGUGCCGACGAGUGGCGCACGGGUGAGUAAUACAUCGGAACGUGCCCGAUCGUGGGGGAUAACGAGGCGAAAGCUUUGCUAAUACCGCAUACGAUCUACGGAUGAAAGCAGGGGACCGCAAGGCCUUGCGCGGACGGAGCGGCCGAUGGCAGAUUAGGUAGUUGGUGGGAUAAAAGCUUACCAAGCCGACGAUCUGUAGCUGGUCUGAGAGGAUGAUCAGCCACACUGGGACUGAGGCACGGCCCAGACUCCUACGGGAGGCAGCAGUGGGGAAUUUUGGACAAUGGGCGCAAGCCUGAUCCAGCCAUGCCGCGUGCAGGAUGAAGGCCUUCGGGUUGUAAACUGCUUUUGUACGGAACGAAAAGCCUUCUUUUAAUACAGGAGGGUCAUGACGGUACCGUAAGAAUAAGCACCGGCUAACUACGUG
rnacentral:rRNA from 1 species